rnacentral:rRNA from 1 species
UGACGAACGCUGGCGGCGUGCUUAACACAUGCAAGUCGAACGGAAAGGCCCUGCUUUUGUGGGGUGCUCGAGUGGCGAACGGGUGAGUAACACGUGAGUAACCUGCCCUUGACUUUGGGAUAACUUCAGGAAACUGGGGCUAAUACCGGAUAGGAGCUCCUGCUGCAUGGUGGGGGUUGGAAAGUUUCGGCGGUUGGGGAUGGACUCGCGGCUUAUCAGCUUGUUGGUGGGGUAGUGGCUUACCAAGGCUUUGACGGGUAGCCGGCCUGAGAGGGUGACCGGCCACAUUGGGACUGAGAUACGGCCCAGACUCCUACGGGAGGCAGCAGUGGGGAAUAUUGCACAAUGGGCGGAAGCCUGAUGCAGCAACGCCGCGUGCGGGAUGACGGCCUUCGGGUUGUAAACCGCUUUCGCCUGUGACGAAGCGUGAGUGACGGUAAUGGGUAAAGAAGCACCGGCUAACUACGUGCCAGCAGCCGCGGUGAUACGUAGGGUGCGAGCGUUGUCCGGAUUUAUUGGGCGUAAAGGGCUCGUAGGUGGUUGAUCGCGUCGGAAGUGUAAUCUUGGGGCUUAACCCUGAGCGUGCUUUCGAUACGGGUUGACUUGAGGAAGGUAGGGGAGAAUGGAAUUCCUGGUGGAGCGGUGGAAUGCGCAGAUAUCAGGAGGAACACCAGUGGCGAAGGCGGUUCUCUGGGCCUUUCCUGACGCUGAGGAGCGAAAGCGUGGGGAGCGAACAGGCUUAGAUACCCUGGUAGUCCACGCUGUAAACGGUGGGUACUAGGUGUGGGGUCCAUUCCACGGGUUCCGUGCCGUAGCUAACGCUUUAAGUACCCCGCCUGGGGAGUACGGCCGCAAGGCUAAAACUCAAAGGAAUUGACGGGGCCCCGCACAAGCGGCGGAGCAUGCGGAUUAAUUCGAUGCAACGCGUAGAACCUUACCUGGGUUUGACAUGGAUCGGGAGUGCUCAGAGAUGGGUGUGCCUCUUUUGGGGUCGGUUCACAGGUGGUGCAUGGCUGUCGUCAGCUCGUGUCGUGAGAUGUUGGGUUAAGUCCCGCAACGAGCGCAACCCUUGUUCACUGUUGCCAGCACGUUAUGGUGGGGACUCAGUGGAGACCGCCGGGGUCAACUCGGAGGAAGGUGGGGAUGACGUCAAGUCAUCAUGCCCCUUAUGUCCAGGGCUUCACGCAUGCUACAAUGGCUGGUACAGAGAGUGGCGAGCCUGUGAGGGUGAGCGAAUCUCGGAAAGCCGGUCUCAGUUCGGAUUGGGGUCUGCAACUCGACCUCAUGAAGUCGGAGUCGCUAGUAAUCGCAGAUCAGCAACGCUGCGGUGAAUACGUUCCCGGGGCUUGUACACACCGCCCGUCAAGUCAUGAAAGUUGGUAACACCCGAAGCCGGUGGCCUAACCGUUGUGGGGGAGCCGUCGAAGGUGGGACU